UGAUGGUUUUUAUCGACUGUACACCUGCAACCAAAAUGUAAUAUUUCACGGUUAGAGCCAGAAAUUAGUUAUAAGCAAUGAGAUAAUGUGUUUAAAUAUUAAUUUCAUUUCUUGAUUCCAAAAAUACAAGCUAUAUGUAAACAAUUCUUCUUAAUGAGGUUAAGCAUCAAGUGAUAGUUGUAUUUCCAACUGCUAACAGUUACUGUCACACGGUCCAGGGCUGCUUUCAGUGAAGAUAAAAGCAGACUCUAUUUCAUGCUUGCAAAGACCAUAGAAAAAAUAAAUAAAAUAAAAUAAAUAAAAUA
rnacentral:misc_RNA from 1 species